AUUGAACGCUGGCGGCGUGCCUAAUACAUGCAAGUAGAACGCAGUUGCGAACGGGUGAGUAACGCGUAGGUAACUGCCUCAUAGCGGGGGAUAACUAUUGGAAACGAUAGCUAAUACCGCAUACUUUGAGCUGGACCUGCGUUGUAUUAGGUAGUUGGUGAGGUAAAGGCUCACCAAGGCGACGAUCCAUACCCGACCUGAGAGGGUGAUCGGACACAAUGGGACUGAGACACGGACCAGAAUCCUACGGGAUGCAGCAGUAGGGAAUCUUCGGCAAUGGACGGAAGUCUGAACGAGCAACGCCGCGGGAGUUAAGAAGGGUUUCGGAUCGUAAAGCUCUGUUGUGAGAGAAGCGGUAACUAAACAGAAAGGGACGGCUAACUACGUGCCAGCAGCCGCGGUAAUAC
rnacentral:rRNA from 1 species